UACGGAGGGUGCAAACGUUGCUCGGAAUUAUUGGGCGUAAAGCGCACGUAGGCGGACCAUCAAGUCGGUUGUGAAAUCCCUCGGCUUAACCGAGGACGUGCAUUCGAAACUGAUGGCCUUGAGUACGAAAGAGGAUCGCGGAAUUCCCGGUGUAGAGGUGAAAUUCGUAGAUAUCGGGAGGAACACCGGUGGCGAAGGCGGCGACCUGGGUAGAUACUGACGCUGGGGUGCGAAAGCGUGGGGAGCGAACAGG
rnacentral:rRNA from 1 species